rnacentral:rRNA from 1 species
GACGAACGCUGGCGGCGUGCUUAACACAUGCAAGUCGAACGGAAAGGCCCUGCUUUUGUGGGGUGCUCGAGUGGCGAACGGGUGAGUAACACGUGAGUAAGCUGCCCUUGACUUUGGGAUAACUUCAGGAAACUGGGGCUAAUACCGGAUAGGAGCUCCUGCUGCAUGGUGGGGGUUGGAAAGUUUCGGCGGUUGGGGAUGGACUCGCGGCUUAUCAGCUUGUUGGUGGGGUAGUGGCUUACCAAGGCUUUGACGGGUAGCCGGCCUGAGAGGGUGACCGGCCACAUUGGGACUGAGAUAGGGCCCAGACGCCUACGGGAGGCAGCGGUGGGGAAUAUUGCACAAUGGGCGGAAGCCUGAUGCAGCAACGCCGCGUGCGGGAUGACGGCCUUCGGGGUGUAAACCGCUUUCGCCUGUGACGAAGCGUGAGUGACGGUAAUGGGUAAAGAAGCACCGGCUAACUACGUG